AUACGGAGGAUCCGAGCGUUAUCCGGAUUUAUUGGGUUUAAAGGGAGCGUAGGUGGAUUGUUAAGUCAGUUGUGAAAGUUUGCGGCUCAACCGUAAAAUUGCAGUUGAAACUGGCAGUCUUGAGUACAGUAGAGGUGGGCGGAAUUCGUGGUGUAGCGGUGAAAUGCUUAUAUAUCACGAAGAACUCCGUUUGUGAAGGCAGCUCACUAGACUGUUACUUACACUGAUGCUCGAAAGUGUGGAUAUCAAACAGGAUUAGAUGCCCUGGUAGUCCACACAGUAAACGAUGAAUACUCGCUGUUUGCGAUAUACAGUAAGCGGCCAAGCGAAAGCAUUAAGUAUUCCGCCUGGGGAGUACGCCGGCAACGGUGAAACUCAAAUGAAUUGACGGGG
rnacentral:rRNA from 1 species